rnacentral:rRNA from 1 species
UACGAGGGGGGCAAGCGUUGUUCGGAAUUAUUGGGCGUAAAGGGCGCGUAGGCGGUCUGAUAAGUCUUGUGUGAAAUCUCUGGGCUCAACCCAGAGUCUGCAUAGGAAACUGUCGGGCUUGAGUAUGGGAGAGGUGCGUGGAAUUCCCGGUGUAGUGGUGGAAUGCGUAGAUAUCGGGAGGAACACCAGUGGCGAAGGCGGCUUCCUGGACCGGUUCUGACACUGAGGAGCGAAAGCGUGGGGAGCGAUCCGG